UUUUGGGGAAGGUAAAAUUUCUCCCUAAGGCUAAAUAACGGCGAGAGACCGAUAGCGAACAAGUACCGUGAGGGAAAGAUGAAAAGAACUUUGAAAAGAGAGUUAAACAGUACGUGAAAUUGUUGAAAGGGAAACGAUUGAAGCCAGUCGUACCUUCGGGUAAUCAGCCUUUCGAGUGCGAUUCUGUGGAGUUUGAGGAGCUUAACACCUUCAUGCUUUGCAUAUUCGUGCUCUUGGGUGUACUUGCCCGUGUUGUUGGUUAACAUCAGUUUCGGGCCCCAAAAAAUGGCUGGAGGAAAGUAACUUCGAUAUAUUCAUUACCGGACACUUUCUUUUUUUAGAAACAUAAGGACUCAUUUUCAAAUUAAUAAAAAUAGAGGCAUUUUAAGACAUAACCAGGUAAU
rnacentral:rRNA from 1 species